CAAGCGGUGGAGCAUGUGGUUUAAUUCGACGCAACGCGAAGAACCUUACCUGGGCUCGAAAUGUACAGGAAUCCGGUGGAAACAUCGGCGCCCAGCAAUGGGCCUGUAUAUAGGUGCUGCAUGGCUGUCGUCAGCUCGUGUCGUGAGAUGUUGGGUUAAGUCCCGCAACGAGCGCAACCCUUACCUCCAGUUGCCAUCAUUAAGUUGGGCACUCUGGCGGAACCGCCUCGGAUAACGGGGAGGAAGGUGGGGAUGACGUCAAGUCCUCAUGGCCUUUAUGUCCAGGGCUACACACGUGCUACAAUGGCCGGUACAAACCGUCGCAAAGCCGCGAGGUGGAGCUAAUCGGAAAAAGCCGGCCUCAGUUCGGAUCGCAGUCUGCAACUCGACUGCGUGAAGCUGGAAUCGCUAGUAAUCGUGGAUCAGAAUGCCACGGUGAAUACGUUCCCGGGC
rnacentral:rRNA from 1 species